CCUACGGGGGGCAGCAGUGGGGAAUAUUGGACAAUGGGGGCAACCCUGAUCCAGCCAUGCCGCGUGUGUGAAGAAGGCCCUCGGGUUGUAAAGCACUUUCAGUGAGGAAGAACGCCUGGUGGUUAAUACCCAUCAGGAAAGACAUCACACACAGAAGAAGCACCGGCUAACUCCGUGCCAGCAGCCGCGGUAAUACGGAGGGUGCGAGCGUUAAUCGGAAUUACUGGGCGUAAAGCGCGCGUAGGUGGCUUGAUAAGCCGGUUGUGAAAGCCCCGGGCUCAACCUGGGAACGGCAUCCGGAACUGUCAAGCUAGAGUGCAGGAGAGGAAGGUAGAAUUCCCGGUGUAGCGGUGAAAUGCGUAGAGAUCGGGAGGAAUACCAGUGGCGAAGGCGGCCUUCUGGACUGACACUGACACUGAGGUGCGAAAGCGUGGGUAGCAAACAGGAUUAGAUACCCCUGUAGUC
rnacentral:rRNA from 1 species